rnacentral:ncRNA from 1 species
AAACCCGUUUUUUUCAAAACGACACAUUUUCAGAAACAAAACUUUU